CACGUAGUUAGCCGGGGCUUCUUGGUCAGGUACCGUCAUCUUCUUCCCUGCCGAUAGGGCUUUACGCGCCGAAACGCUCCUCCACCCACGCGGCGUCGCUGCAUCAGGGUUCCCCCCAUUGUGCAAUAUCCCCCACUGCUGCCUCCCGUAGGAGUCUGGGCCGUGUCUCAGUCCCAGUGUGGCCGUCCACCCUCUCAGGCCGGCUACUGAUCGUCGCCUUGGUAGGCCGUUACCCUGCCAACCAGCUAAUCAGACGCGGGCCCAUCCUGUACCACCGGGGUUUUCCGCGCCAUGCCAUGCGGCACGCCGCGCUUAUGCGGUAUUAGCACCUGUUUCCAGGUGUUAUCCCCCAGUACAGGGCAGGUUGCCCACGCGUUACUCACCCGUCCGCCACUCGCGCGGCGCCGCAGGGGCCGAGGCCCCUGCCGCACGCCGCGCCCGUUCGACUUGCAUGUGUUAGGCACGCCGCCAGCGUUCAUCCUGAGCCAGGAUCAAACUCU
rnacentral:rRNA from 1 species